GACGUGGACGGGGGAGGGGGGGGGGGAGGUGGUAGGGGGCGUGGGUUGGCUGGAAUUGCGGGGGGUAAAGUGCUCGGAGGUGGUUUGGUGCGUUGUUCGUGAAAUCGCACGGCUUAACUGUGAGCGGGCGGGCGAUACGGGCAGACUGGAGUACUGCAGGGGAGACUGGAAUUCCUGGUGUAGCGGUGGAAUGCGCAGAUAUCAGGAGGAACACCGGUGGCGAAGGCGGGUCUCUGGGCAGUAACUGACGCUGAGGAGCGAAAGCGUGGGGAGCGAACAGGAUUAGAUACCCGGGUAGUC
rnacentral:rRNA from 1 species